rnacentral:piRNA from 1 species
UGGUCGGCAGUGAUCAGAAGGUCCAGGAUAGU